UCAUCUCUUCUGUGUUAUUACUUGCAGUUACUUUAUAUGUUGGGAGUAGUUGAUAUGCUGGAGGGCAAGGCUGCCAUCAUCCUGGGAGUCACAAACAAGGAUCUGGGUGACAGGAGCAUCAUGAAGUUCAAGACUUCAAAUGUGAAGUCUUGCAUCUUGUAAACAGAGACACCAUGCAACAGUACAAACUGGGGACAGGCUGGACAUCGAGCUGAAUGUGAGUUGAGAAUGUGCCAUUGUGUGAAUGAGAGCCAAGCGCAAAAGACACUGGGCUGCAUUAAUAACAGCAGAGGCAGCAGGUUGAGAUAGCCGGCGGAGGUGAAUAUUGCACCCCUCUGAGGAGAAGAAAAUCCCACAGGCAAGCAGAGAGCAAGAUUGACAUUUCUCAUUAUUUCUGUACUCCAGGCUGUGCAAGGAAACACUCAUCGUUCUUGAAGCAGAAUCUAGGGAAGCUCUGUCUCAGCAUACACGACCUCUACUGCACAAAGAGAAAGGUUGCGUUGUGCCUGGGGAACAAAGCUCUGGAAUGAAGUCUAUAACAGCUAAGAUAUGCUGGGCCACGGAGCAUCUUUGCAAGUCUCUAAACAGCCCACAGGAAAAUCACAGAAGGACCCUGUGAGUGGCAGUUAUGUAAGACGAAACUUGAGCCAAGCCAUUGGGUGCCAUAUCCCAGGGAUGGGAGAAAAUGGCAGGUGUGAUGAGCUGGGGCUGGCUGUGUUCAUGGAGUUUCUGUGCUGCCUGGAGUUUUCUCACUUGGAAAGCUUCAUAUGUUGCUAUUUUGCAUUGCUCUGGAAUCAUAAUGGAAAGUAGGAAAGCACAAACAAGUGAACCCAGAGUAUCAUAAAACAGCCUAGAAUGAAAUUUUUGGUCUAGUAGUGGUGACAGAAAACACAAGUGAGGGGUUUUGCUGAGCAGCUUUAGUGGCAGUGAGCACCCUGGAAAUACAAACUGGCUGGGUUUGAUGCCUACUUCUUUCAGGCUGCAAAAGCUGCCCAGAAAUCUUUCAGAGUUCCACUGCAGAGACCCUAGGAGUGUUUCAGCUGAUUUGCAGAUGACUUCUGGCAUUGGCCUGAAGCCGUGGGAAAUGAGAAGCUCCAAAAUUAGGCAAAACUCAGUAUUUUCUUUUAAGUUGUUUAAAAAUACAGGUUAUACGUUCCUAACAGUUGAGAAGAAAGCUAGAGUGGCACCAGGCUGGAGAAUGGAGUGUUGGUGUGCAUAAGGAAACAUGGGAGAAAUCACCUCUUUGGAGAGAAGGUGUGAUCCCAGAGCCUGGGAGGAAGGAGCCCUGUGGCACCCACUGAGAGGAGGAGGAGCUGGAAUCCUGAGCUUGUAUUUGCCUGGGAAAUAAGUGGAAAAACACUUGUAUGUCCCUACAGAGCAUUUCAGGCAAGCCAGACAUUGUAUCCACUCAGGUGGAUAAAUAGUCAAGUGUCAUUAGUACAUGUAGCUCUUAUUGACAACCUUGCCAAACCCAUUUUGUAACACAGCUGUAACCAUGCAACAAAGCACUGUGAGCUAAAACAGGACAGAGGUGAUUUUACUUCAAACAAAACAAGGUUUACACAUUCACAUACCCUCAUGCUUCCAAACAUCAAAAUGAAUGGCUCCAAGUGCUUCAGCCCAGGUGACUGUGGUGGUGAAGAUGGAAAAGGCAUGUAGGUAUCUCAACAUGUCUCCUUGGUUCUUCAUGGACUGGAAGCCAAGUGCUGCUCUGGGAUCUUCUGAGUUGACAGUGUGAUCUUUUGUUUCUUCAUCCUGUUCCAUCCCUGGCUUAGUGUUUACUUUUCUGUCCUUAUCUGGCUGUUUUAUGGCUCCAAGCCUGUUUUUUCUUCCUUUCAUCACUUCUUGAGAGCUCUGGUUUAUUAGCCUGUCCUUCAUUUUGCUCGCUGCGUUGACUGUCUUCAAUGUGAGGAGGUUCUGGUAAGCCUCACACAGACCUGUUGGCACCUCGAUGACCUGCUGGCUGAGGUGCCAUCUGCACCUGCCAUUCCACUCUUCUCUCUGGUGUUCCCACACUUAGGUAAUCACUCACAUACAGAAAGUUCUUAACAUUUUUAUUAAAAAUUCCUCACACCUUGCAACAUAUGUUACCCAUCUACAGCAGAUCCUCAAGAGUGUAGAUGACUACUGAAGAAGCAAGGAUCUCUAAGGAGGGUCCACUUAAGCCCACCUCCCAGGUCUGAAGGUCAUUUAAGCAUAUGGAACAACGCAGAGAGAAAAGGGAGCACUGAAAAGCUGCUCCAGUAAUUCCCAGCUGCCUCUUCCCUGCUCCACUUUCUCCUGAUGCUGCCCUUUUCAAUUGCCCACUGAACUGAGGUUUGGAAUUAUUUCUCUUGAGAAACUGCACAGAGUUUUAUUGCUUUGAUUUUAACUGAUCUAUUGGCUGCCUGUGCAUUUCUCAGCCACUUUCCGAAAACAGCAGCUGGUAUGCUGGUAUGGGUGGUGUUUGCAGGUGAAAAGUGGAGCUGCCUAAUAGCUUUCCAGCUGAUAUAGCACCAGCAUUGGAUUAGGUCAUUGUAAUGGCAGCUGAAAACUUUGCUUUAACACAGCUUGAACGGCUCAGUACACCUCAGUUUGGUGAGAAGAAGCGGUGCCCGGUGUGGCCGGUUGAUGUACUUCUGUCUCAAGUGUUUGUUCAACGCAAGCACCAGAAAGUUGAGCACAGUGAAAUAAAAGCAGAUCUGCUUGCAAAAACAAAACUGAACAAAAAUCACCUGAAAGAAAAAUCCAUGUUCCUUUCUCAGUAGCUUUUAUGAAAACUUUCUCCUUCCUCACAUUGCAGUGACUCCAUGAGGAUCAUUCUACAAUAUGGAGUUUAAUAUGUGUACUAAAAUUUAUUCCAGCUGUUGCUAAUCAUAGAGAUAUGAAUAAUGUUAUUAUACAGGGAAAAAUCUUGACUAGACUCGGUGCAGAUUUAUUCAUUUGUAAUUUUUCCAUCUUAAAUCCAAAUAUUAAAAGCCAGAUGAAAGGAAGGAAAGGUAAUUGUAACCACUGGCUUCUACUUCAGCGUGAUGAAAUUGAGCUUGCUCAGUAAUCAAAGAAUAAGUGUAGAGAUUUUUAUCAGAGUAUCUGAUUUUAUCAGACCAUUUGCAGGGUCUGCAAUUCAAUAGAAACCAGGGAUGCCAGAUCUUUCGUAUAAAUCACUUCAGGGAGAGGUCUGCUGCCGGGUUACAGCUCAGACAUGGCCAGAAAAAGUCCAGCUGAAGCUGAAUAGGGAACACACUUGGGGUCUUCAAACUCUGCCAUUACUGCAGCAUGUAAACUUCUAAGAGGCGAUUACAUUGAGAAAUGUGCUGCCAGCUCUGAAGGCUGAGUCUGGUCAUAGAAUCAUAGAAUCAUAGAAUCGUAGAAUCGUAGAAUCAUAGA